CAGUAGCCACGGGAAUACGUAGGUGGCAAGCGUUGUCCGGAAUUAUUGGGCGUAAAGGGUGCGUAGGCGGUUUGGCAAGUUUCGUGUGAAGACUUCGGGCUCAACCCGAAGCCUGCACGGAAAACUGCCGGGCUUGAGUAUGGGAGAGGUGAGUGGAAUUUCCGGUGUAGCGGUGAAAUGCGUAGAUAUCGGAAGGAACACCUGAGGCGAAAGCGGCUCACUGGACCAUAACUGAUGCUGAGGCACGAAAGCUAGGGGAGCAAACAGGAUUAGAGACCCCUGUAGUCCCUGUCUCUUAUAC
rnacentral:rRNA from 1 species